GACGAACGCUGGCGGCGUGCUUAACACAUGCAAGUCGAACGGAAAGGCUCCAGCUUGCUGGAGUACUCGAGUGGCGAACGGGUGAGUAACACGUGGGUAAUCUGCCCUGCACUCUGGGAUAAGCCUGGGAAACUGGGUCUAAUACUGGAUAUGACCUUUCUCCUUAUGGGGUUUGGUGGAAAGUUUCUCGGUGUAGGAUGAGCCCGCGGCCUAUCAGCUUGUUGGUGGGGUGAUGGCUUACCAAGGCGACGACGGGUAGCCGGCCUGAGAGGGUGAUCGGCCACAUUGGGACUGAGAUACGGCCCAGACUCCUACGGGAGGCAGCAGUGGGGAAUAUUGCACAAUGGGCGGAAGCCUGAUGCAGCGACGCCGCGUGAGGGAUGACGGCCUUCGGGUUGUAAACCUCUUUCAGCAGGGACGAAGCGUAAGUGACGGUACCUGCAGAAGAAGCACCGGCUAACUAUGUG
rnacentral:rRNA from 1 species